GUAGGUGGCAAGCGUUGUCCGGAAUUAUUGGGCGUAAAGCGCGCGCAGGCGGUUCUUUAAGUCUGAUGUGAAAGCCCACGGCUCAACCGUGGGGGGUCAUUGGAAACUGGAGAACUUGAGUACAGAAGAGGAAAGCGGAAUUCCACGUGUAGCGGUGAAAUGCGUAGAGAUGUGGAGGAACACCAGUGGCGAAGGCGGCUUUCUGGUCUGUAACUGACGCUGAGGCGCGAAAGCGUGGGGAGCAAACGGGGGAUUAGAUACCCUGGUAGUCCACGCCGUAAACGAUGAGUGCUAAGUGUUAGGGGGUUUCCCGCCCCUUAGUGCUGCAGCUAACGCAUUAAGCACUCCGCCUGGGGAGUACGGCCGCAAGGCUG
rnacentral:rRNA from 1 species